rnacentral:rRNA from 1 species
UAAUACCAGCAGUUCAAGUUGCAUCCCUUUUUAUUGGGUCUAAAACAUCCGUAGCUUGCCGUUUAAGUCCUUUGUGAAAUCCUGCGUCUCAAGCGCAGGGCUUGCAGAGGAUACUGAGCGGCUAGAGAUCGGUAGACGUAAGGAGUACGCCGGAGGUAAUGGUUAAAUAUGUUAAUCUUCGGUGGACUAACAAUGAGCGAAGGCACCUUACGAGGACGAAUCUGACAGUGAGGGAUGAAGGCCAGGGGCGCAAAACGGAUUAGAUACCCGUGUAGUCCUGGCAGUAAACACUGUUCACUAAACAUCGGGCCCUCUUCGGGAGGAUUCGGUGCUGAAGCGAAGGCGAAGAGUGAACUACCUGGGAAGUAUAGUCGCAAGAUCG